GAACGCUGGCGGCGUGCUUGAUACAUGCAAGUCAAGGAGAACAUUAUCUUCGGAUAAUAAGUAAACUGGCGAACGGGUGAGUAACGCGUAAACAACUUGCCUCAGAGAUUGGGACAACAUUGGGAAACCAGUGCUAAUACCAAAUAAUGCAGCGGGCUCUUCGGAGCACAGUUGUUAAAGUAGGCUUCGGCUUACACUUUGAGAUAGGUUUGCGUCCGAUUAGUUAGUUGGUAGGGUAAAAGCCUACCAAGACCAAGAUCGGUAGCUGGUCUGAGAGGAUGAUCAGCCACACUGGAAUUGAGAUACGGUCCAGACUCCUACGGGAGGCAGCAGUAAGGAAUUUUGCACAAUGGGCGAAAGCCUGAUGCAGCAACGCCGCGUGAACGAUGAAGUUUUUAGGAAUGUAAAGUUCUGUCGUAUGGGAAGAGAUCUUUCGAAUGUUAAUACCAUUCGUUAAUGACGGUACCAUACAAGAAAGCACCGGCUA
rnacentral:rRNA from 1 species